rnacentral:rRNA from 1 species
UACGUAGGUGGCAAGCGUUGUCCGGAAUUAUUGGGCGUAAAGCGCGCGCAGGCGGCCCGCGAGGUGUCACGUGAAAGCCCCCGGGCUCAACCCCGGGAGGGUCGUGGCAAACCGGCGGCUUGAGGCCGGUAGAGGUGGGUGGAACUCCUGGUGGAGUGGUGAAAUGCGUAGAGAUCAGGAAGAACACCCGUGGCGAAGGCGGCCCACUGGGCCCGGUACU